GCGUGAGUGAAGAAGGCCUUCGGGUUGUAAAGCUCUUUUGUCAGGGAAGAAACGGCAGUGGCUAAUAUCCACGGCUAAUGACGGUACCUGAAGAAUAAGCACCGGCUAACUACGUGCCAGCAGCCGCGGUAAUACGUAGGGUGCAAGCGUUAAUCGGAAUUACUGGGCGUAAAGCGUGCGCAGGCGGUUUUGUAAGUCUGUCGUGAAAGCCCCGGGCUCAACCUGGGAAUUGCGAUGGAGACUGCAAGGCUUGAAUCUGGCAGAGGGGGGUAGAAUUCCACGUGUAGCAGUGAAAUGCGU
rnacentral:rRNA from 1 species